ACAUGCCUACAACUUAGCGUUGGUGCAUCAUAUCCCAUUAUAAAUAUGCAGUUAAGUGUGCUCAGGCUAGAGUAGUACUGGGAUGGGUGACUUCCCAAGAAGUCCUAGUAUUUUACAUGCC
rfam:Picea glauca, whole genome shotgun sequence.